rnacentral:rRNA from 1 species
UACGGAAGGGGCGAGCGUUGUCCGGAAUCACUGGGCGUAAAGCGCACGUAGGCGGAUCUUUAAGUCAGGGGUGAAAUCCCAAGGCUCAACCUUGGAACUGCCUUUGAUACUGGGGAUCUCGAGUCCGGAAGAGGUGAGUGGAACUGCGAGUGUAGAGGUGAAAUUCGUAGAUAUUCGCAAGAACACCAGUGGCGAAGGCGGCUCACUGGUCCGGUACUGACGCUGAGGUGCGAAAGCGUGGGGAGCAAACAGG